ensembl:lncRNA
CAGUGAUGUUCUCUGCUGUAGAUGCAGCGCGACGCAGCACGGCGAAUCCUUGACAUGUGGUGAAAAGACAAGAACAUGUGACGAGGCAUCUGGCCCUCAGAUUCACCAGUAAAAAGCUUCUUCUGCUGUUUGUCCCAUGACCCCCCGUGCGAGCCUGACACACACCUUGACCUCCACAAAAAUACGAGAGCUUUCAUGCAAUACAAAUAUUAAUGGUAAGAAGCUCAUCUAAAGUUUUUUAUAAGAGAGGUUUUCUAGCUAAUAUUAGCUUAGUCUAUUAAUUAAUUAUCAAAGUUAAUUGAAGGGUUAAACCUAGAAAAUAUAGUUUCACUCACUCACUCACAUUUAAUUAACUUGUUUGAGAAGGUAGUUUCUACUGUGGUUACAGCCAAACAGUUUUAGGAAUCCAUAUUUGAUAUACAGAUUAUAUAUAAUAGUUAAAUUAUCACAAAUUCUAACUGUCUGAAUGUUAAUACAGUACAGGAUAUGUUGGAAACAUUUUCAUGCACUUGAGUUGAAAGUAUUUGGACUUCAGGUGUUAUGUUCUAGUGCUUUGUUUUGUUCAGACACAGCUUUCAGUUUGUAUCGCUAUACAUUGUUUUCGUUUUUGGGACUGAUGAACCAUGACAGAACAGUUCUUUUUCCAUUCCACAUAUCCCUCAAAAGAGCUAAAACGGCCUCAGUAUCAGCUACCUUUUGACAGGUAUGAGAGAUUGCCAGCGUGUGUUCCUUGGGAACUGAACCCAUGAACGCAACUUUGUUAGCGCCAUGCUCUACCAGUCAAACUACAGCAACAAUAUAACUGUUGUUGGAAAUUUACAAUAAAGGACAUCUUUGGUUUACAAACUGCCAUUAAAAGCAGAGCACAGUAAUUUGUAUUAGAUUAGCGGACCC